rnacentral:rRNA from 1 species
CCUACGGGAGGCAGCAGUGGGGAAUAUUGGACAAUGGGGGCAACCCUGAUCCAGCGACGCCGCGUGCGUGAAGACGUAUCUCGGUAUGUAAAGCUCCAUCUGCACGGGAGUAAGAAAUGACGGUACCUGACUAAUAAGCCUCGGCUAACUACGGGCCAGGAGACGCGGUAAUCCGUAGGGUGCAAGCGUUAUCCGGAUUUACUGGGUGUAAAGGGAGCGUAGGCGGCGAGGCAAGUCUGCAGUGAAAGGCGGGGGCCCAACCCCUGGACUGCUUUGGAAACUGUAUGGCUGGAGUGCAGGAGAGGUAAGUGGAAUUCCUAGUGUAGCGGUGAAAUGCUUAGAUAUUAGGAGGAACACCAGUGGCGAAGGCGGCUUACUGGACUGUAACUGACGUUGAGGCUCGAAAGCGUGGGGAGCAAACAGGAUUAGAUACCCGGGUAGUC